rnacentral:rRNA from 1 species
UCGCCAGACUCCUACGGGAGGCAGCAGUGGGGAAUAUUGGGCAAUGGACGCAAGUCUGACCCAGCAACGCCGCGUGAAGGAAGAAGGCUUUCGGGUUGUAAACUUCUUUUAAGGGGGAAGAGUAGAAGACGGUACCCCUUGAAUAAGCCACGGCUAACUCCGUGCCAGCAGCCGCGGUAAUACGGAGGAUGCGAGCGUUAUCCGGAUUUAUUGGGUUUAAAGGGUGCGUAGGCGGGCUUUUAAGUCAGCGGUAAAAAUUCGGGGCUCAACCCCGUCCGGCCGUUGAAACUGGGGGCCUUGAGUGGGCGAGAAGAAGGCGGAAUGCGUGGUGUAGCGGUGAAAUGCAUAGAUAUCACGCAGAACCCCGAUUGCGAAGGCAGCCUUCCGGCGCCCUACUGACGCUGAGGCACGAAAGUGCGGGGAUCGAACAGGAUUAGAUACCCCGGUAC